UAGGUCAGGUUUGUGUGUACACAAUUCUAUAUCAUUAUAUAUACAUCUUUUUUUUUCUCUGUGCUUCACAAUUUACACACGAAAAUCUAACAUGAUCUGUCCUCAUGUGAUGGAGGUAGAUUAAAUGCUGAUAACCGAAAUCCUGUUAUUUACGACUUUCAAUGUAUGUACAAGCAUAUUGCAUAUUUGUCCUUUUUAAUCUUCCUACAUAUUUGGCGUUUUCUGAACUAGCAGGCUAUCUUUACGCGACUUCCAGGAUACCAUGUGGCAAACAACCAAUGGAAGCAUGUUUUCAGGCACUAUGAUUAGGUUUAAGUUUAUUUUGUUUUUACCAAGAAAGAUGGAUGCUUUGGCUGAUAAUCUAUUCUUCUACCUCGAGAUUUAGCUUUUUCAGAUUGUUGGUAGAGGCUUGCGCAUCUGGUCAUUUUCCCACUUCCGCUGAGGCGAAGACUUUCGUUGACAUGUCAUUGUGGAGCUCUACGGUCCAAGGUCACAAAUAAGUUAUCUUCUGUGGAACUCAGGGGAAGUUUGUUGCCUGUAGGAGGAUGGUGUAUCCAUUGGAGAAGGGGCAUCGGCUGAAAAAUAAGAAAUUUUAAUUAUUGAGGGAGUUAAUGUGCAUUCCAAUGGAUAACAACAAGAUCUUUUUGACUGGACCACCUCUUCAAAAAGCCUAGCAGAACUGUGGUCACAACUGGACUUCAUUCUGCCUAAUGCAUUCUCAUCCCAUCAGGAAUUGGAGUCAUCAUAUGAUUUGUUGUGCUAACACAUGCAUCACUGCCACCCUGUACUCUACGGAAUAUAUGUGAAUGCUAUUAUUGUUCAGGGUCUCCAUAUUCUUAGAGCACUUUUGUUCACCGGUACUGCUUUCUGUCUUGUCGCCUUUUUGCUUUCUAUUGAUUGUAAUUAUAAGCUUCUUGAAUCAUCCAAUGUGACAUUUGUUAGCUCUCACAAAGUUUUGAUCUGUCACUACAUAGAAUUUUAUUGAUUGAUCUCUGUAUGA